GCCCCUGUCUGCAAGGGCUUCAGCAGCUGUAGGCCAGGGACCAGGGCAGAGAUCAAUGUGUCUAUUUCUCAUGAUUUCACAAACCACACACAAGGCAGCAGGGGACAUGUCAGGAAACACUGCAGUCAUCGGAGCUGGACCCGCUGACCAGAGUGACCAGGCUGCAGGAACCCAGAGACCUCACCAUCAGACAGGGAUGCAAGGGCAGAGUUGAGGACAAUUUCAAGCUCUGGGACUCAAUCCGUCACUGCAGCGACCCUGGAACUGGGAUGUGUGCCAUGGGUGUGAGGACCCAGCAUGCAGCGGGCUUCCGGGACAUUUUGCUCCACAUCUUUCUCCCGAAGAGACCUUGCUGUGUUCUGAGUUACCUGGCCGGGUGCUGGCUGCACGGGAGGCAGGCAGAACUUGGCAGUCUGGAGAUGUCUGUGCAGCCACAGCAUCCAGGAGACCUCUGCUCCUCCCCACAUCCACACUGGCCAGGCAACCUGGCCGCUGGGAAGGGGGACUGGGUGACCUUCGGUGGGGGACAGACCUGCCUGUUAGCACAGCACAGCAGGGAACCCCGCUUUACCAAGUCCCAGCUCUGCAAUACCAAGAUAUUCAACCCACCACUAACGUCUCCCUUUCUUUGUCUGUGAAAUACCCCAGCAAAAUGUCUAACUCAGUCGCUGUUACAGUUUACGUAACUAUUAACAAGAUUUUAAAAUGCUCUAGUUGGGGGGAGGGUCUCUAACUGGACCCUAAAGCAAACCCCACCCACAUCCUUCCUGCCAGAUGAGCCUGCGCCCCUCCCCAAGCUCAAAGAGUGGAGCUGUCUAGGGCUGGAACCCGCUUUCCUGACCACAGCCCCCUUCCUGAGCCAGGCUUCUGGAGCCAGCCCUGGACACUGCGUCCCUCCAGGCCCUGCACCCCCCUCGCCUGCAUGUCUCUCUGCACUCUCCUGUGCCUCUGUCCUCACCUCUCUGAGGGCCGGGGCCCUGCAGGGAUCUCUGACCAGCUGGGCUGCCUGGACAGAGCAGGAGCAGCCAGGCAGUCAGGCCGCUGCCCGAGGAGAGCAAGCACUGCAGUGCGGACAGCGGGGCUGGGAGAUUGAGUGCAGGCCCAGCCAGACUUCC
rnacentral:lncRNA from 1 species